rfam:Salmo salar isolate Sally breed double haploid chromosome ssa17, whole genome shotgun sequence.
UGCACUUACAACUGUAAGUGGCUUCGGAUAAAAGCGUCUGCUAAAUGGCAUAUG